rnacentral:misc_RNA from 1 species
CCAAUAGCGUAUAUUAAAGUUGUUGCAGUUAAAAAGCUCGUAGUUGAAUUUCGGGAUCAAUAUAUCGGUCGUGCCAUUGGUACGUACUGGUAUCAUUGGUUUCUCCUUUCUGACGAACCAUGAUGUCAUUAAUUUGGUGUUAUGGGAAGUUAGGACUGUUACUUUGAAAAAAUUAGAGUGUUUAAAGCAGGCUUUAGCUUGAAUACAUUAGCAUGGAAUAAUGAAAUAGGACGUUCGAACCUAUUUUGUUGGUUUCUAGGAUCAACGUAAUGAUUAAUAGGGAUAGUUGGGGGCAUUAGUAUUCAAUUGGCAGAGGUGAAAUUCUUGGAUUUAUUGAAGACUAACUACUGCGAAAGCAUUUGCCAAGGAUGUUUUCAUUAAUCAAGAACGAAAGUUAGGGGAUCGAAGACGAUCAGAUACCGUCGUAGUCUUAACCAUAAACUAUGCCGACUAGGGAUCGGAUGAUGUUAAUUUUUUAAUGACUCAUUCGGCGCCUUACG